rnacentral:rRNA from 1 species
UUCAGACUGCAGGCUGCAACUCGCCUGCACGAAGUCGGAAUUGCUAGUAAUCGUAGGUCAGCAUACUACGGUGAAUACCGUUCCCGGGCCUUGUACACACCGCCCGUCAAACCAUGAGAGUUGGCAACACCCGAAGUCGGUAGUCUAACCGCAAGGAGGACGCCGCCGAAGGUGGGGUUGAUGAUUAGGGUUAAGUCGUAACAAGGUAAC